UACGGGGGGAGCAGGCGUUGUCCGGAAUUAUUGGGCGUAAAGAGCUUGUAGGCGGUUUGUCGCGUCUGCUGUGAAAUUUCGGGGCUCAACCCCGAACUUGCAGUGGGUACGGGCAGACUAGAGUGUGGUAGGGGAGACUGGAAUUCCUGGUGUAGCGGUGAAAUGCGCAGAUAUCAGGAGGAACACCGAUGGCGAAGGCAGGUCUCUGGGCCAUAACUGACGCUGAGAAGCGAAAGCAUGGGGAGCGAACAGG
rnacentral:rRNA from 1 species